rnacentral:tRNA from 1 species
GCUGGGAGAGCGCCUGCUUUGCACGCAGGAGGUCAGCGGUUCGAUCCCGCUAGGCUCCACCA